UUCAUCUUCUCUUCGCGUCGCCUAAAAAUGUUUUUUUUUUCCGACGAAUGCUUAGACCGUUCAUCUAACCAGCGUCGAACCUCCAUCAGUAAUACAUGAAGCCAUUGUUUCCAGCGAUAGCCUGUUAGAACCCGACGGUGGUGUCUUUCGAUUGACUUCCAACUCACCGACAAAUAAAUUCUUGGAAACGUUACGAGAAUCAGAUUCAUCCAAUCGUCGUCUUCAACGACCUCAUCAACAACAUCUCACCACUCCUCAAUCUGUCAUUCAAUGUAUCCCCAUUAUUGCUAUUGUGUGAAUCAUCCACUAUAAAUAGGUUAUCUCAUUGCAUCAAAACUCAUAUUAUUCAUUCCUCUCCAUCAUAUAGAUUUCUACACGUUCUGACUAACUACGCUCUCUUCCUUGCCGACUUGAGGGAUGGUUGGACCACCACCGUGGAGGUCCGCCUAUUUUGGGAGCCGAGGUACGUGAAGCGAGGAUUGAGCUUAUGUGUAUAGACAUGCUCAUACUAAUGCAAAGUAUGGUUAUUGUAUCUCCACCAUCAAGGUCCGCCUCCUAAGGUUCAGGAAUGUGAAUGCUCCUCCUCGACGAAAAGGCAGUGGAGACUGCAACAGCGGUGUCAGAACGACCACACAGUAAAUCAUAUAGAUUUUACUGUACAGUGAGCGCAAGUGAGGUGGUUAAGUUUACAUUCUUUGGAACUUGCAAGUAAAGGGAUGAUGGUUUGACCAAUCACAGUUUGGGUGAGUCUAGAGCUAACUCAUCCACGAGUGCCACAUAAUAUGUUGGUGUGAAGAAAAUCGAGUCCAUAAUGGUGUCUGAGCUAAAUGCAUAUGUCCUCAAUUCUCCUCGAUUGAUGAGUUUCUCUGCAUGAACAAAAUUGAGAGCAUUGAGACAAGCAAUGGAUGGAGCUUACAUGUGUGCCCUGCAUCUGCUCAGAUUGUGACAAGUUAGCGGGAGUGGUGAGGCCCCAGUGAACCAAACACCAACAGUGCUACCGGGAGUGGUGAGGCCCCAGUGAACCAAACACCAACAAUCAAUGAAACCACAACAGUUGCUCAAUCAACUCUUGGAAGGACCUUGGCAUGGGAACCACAUGUUGCAUCAAUGGAGAGUGCACUAAAAAAAUCACGCAAUGCUUAGAUAUAUAAGAGCACCUCCAAUGGGGAUUUUUCCCAUCGGGGUUCUUAAUAUGUGUGUUAUGUAUAUAUAUAUAUGUAUAUAUAUAUGUAUAUAUUAUAUAUGUAUAAGUAACUUUGGGGUCAUAGAUAAGAGCACCAUUAACCCUAGUUCUUAGCCAUGAGUUUUAGCAAAAGAAUAAUUAAAAAAUCAGUGGAUUCCACUCACUUUUUAAGAACA